rnacentral:snoRNA from 1 species
GGACAGUGACGAUUAAAAGGUCUCGUUCGUCGUAAUAUUGGCCGUAAAAGGUCUAUUUGCCGACCACUCUGUUAUAUUCUCUGAGUCC